UGCAGUAAGGAGAAAUAAAGGUUGAGUGAUAUGAUAUGCUAAAACAGAUUAAAUAAAAGGRCUAGGUGUAAUAGGGAAGAAAAAAUAAGAGGGCAUGUGACAAAGGAAAAUGAUAAUACAGAGAAAAAAUAAUUAAUCUGAUGAAGAUAGAUACAAAGGUAGUUCAGUGCUAAAAGAAUAUAAGAAAAGAGUGAAAGGUAGGUUGGACAUUUCCUUCUGGAGACAAAGAGACUUCUGUAAAUAUGGCACAAGAGGAACUGUGAGACAAAUGAAAUGCAUUGAGUUUGUGAGGAAGCAUGAUGGAAAAAAAGAUUAUUUCAAAGCUGGUAUUCAGUGCUCAGAUUCCCCUGUCUACAUCCUACCAUGGUAUUUGCUCUUCUCAUGGCUUCUGCUACAAUCUCGCUCUGCCACCAGGCUUGAUGCACAUUACCCCAAGAGGCAUCCUGUUGUAUACUGCAUUACACGUAGCUGUGUGUGGCUUCUGGAAAAUGCGUCCAGCUGAAUAAAAUAGAAAUUGUAAUCACAGAGCGAUUGUUUACUGAUGGACCUGUGCAAUAUCCCACACACAAGGUGAAAUAACUGAAUUAACACUUUUCAAAGCCACUCCAUUUUUUAGAUUUGCCUCACAGAGUCAGUUUGAGC
rnacentral:lncRNA from 1 species